AUUAAAUGUCAUUCACUGUGCGUGCAUCCUGACGCAUUCUCGUGGGACUGCGGUAAUAAUUCGAGUAAUUCUCUACCGGAGGAAACGAUGUGAAGGAACUAUGCAAAAAUGAAUGGAAACAUAUUUACUACAUGCAUUUACUAUAUUAUACCUAUACAAAAAAUGUUCUUCAUUCCUUGGGCACGUUUUUGCGACCAUCAAGAUAGCCAGCUGCCUUGCGAACUUUGCGUUCGUAACAAGAGCAUAAUUACAGCUGUGCGACCUUAGUGCUGCAGAAUAAUUUUUCUUUCUUUUUUUUACACGUUGAUCGUUAGAUCAAUAAUAUCGUAUGAUUUUUUCCAAGUGGAAUUUAAUUAGUUCCCUGUGUGCAAUCUUAUUCACUUCCACAAAUAUGUCACAGCAGAGAUUUCUAUUAAUUAGAUUUUGCAGUUUCUUCAGUACAGUUUGAAAUUAAGAAAAAUUGAAAUCAAUAGAAGAAUGUAAUGUAACUGGUUUUUUAAGAAUAAAUUUGUGCAGACUUCUUGAAUUCUUAUAUCGAUAUUUCCAAAUAUUUCAUCCACGUUCAAUAUAAAAUUCGUUAGAAAAGUGGAAUUUUAAUUUAAAAACAUUAUCCUUAAAGAUACAGUCUAUUAAUCUACUUUUUCUUAUUUAAUAAAAAUGUCUUCAGCGUUAAUAAGGAAAUAAAAAUUAAUUUAGCAUAAAAUAUAUAUAAAAUUAAUUAACGUUUCUUAUCAAAGAUAAAUUGUUUAUUAACGCGCAUACUAUUUGUAUAAGUAAAGCAAAAUCCCACUUGUGUUAACCAAAACUCGCAUAUUGCGUUAAUUUAAGAAAUGCCAAUUUAAAUUUUCAAAUACAAAUUUAUGAUUGUAAAUCUACAUGAAUGUAAUUUCUUUUAAAAUCAAUGAAAAAUCUUAUCGUUAGAUCUCAAACAUA